GGGGCUAGGCAGGCUGUGGAGCUGGAGGAUACGCUGUCCGAUCGGCUUGGUACCGGCGGCGGCCCUUCAGAGGAAAUGCGGCCCCACGGAACGCCUGGCAAGUGCUGGGGAAGCGGCAUGGUCAUCUCACUCCGUUCCUCAACUAAUUUCCUCACAAUCGCGAGCCGAAGUGUGGCGCCUUGGCAGUUUGGCAAGUUCUUUUGUCAGGAGAUGAGUGAUUGAGGAUUGGGGGUCUUUGGAGCUCUUGGACCUGACAAACAAUUGUUUUUCUCCCUUCAGAGAGCCAAGGAACCCAUUGGCACAUGAGAGAUGGGGUCUUGCUGUGUUGCCCAGGGUGGAGUGCAGUGGCUAUUCACAGGUGUGGUCAUAGCUACUAUAGCCUCAAACCCCUGGGCUCAAGUGAGCCUUUUGAACUAGAACAUUGACCUUUUCUGGUUCUGCAGAAGCUUCCAACCUUCAGAUUUGAACUGGGACACUGGCUUUGCAGAUUUUGGACUUGCCAACCUUCAUAAUUGCAACCUACACUCCUGUCAAUUGUGGGAUGAUCACUGGAGCCAGAGGCCAGGAAGAAGUUCAUGAGCCCGAGAGAAAAAGCAAGGAUUUCCAGUUCUACCCUUAGAGUUCUGCUCUGUUGCCCAGGCUGGAGUGCAGUGGCACAAUCAUAGCUCAUCGCAACCUUGAACUCCUGGGCUCAAGCGAUCCUCCUGCCUCAGCCUCCCAAGUAGCUGGGACCACCAGUGUGCGCCACCACACCCAGCUAUUUAAAAAAAUUGUUUUGUAGAUAUAGGGUUCUUGCUAUGUUGCCCAGGCUGUUCUCAAACUCCUGGCCUCAAGUAAUCCUCCCGCUUUGGCCUCCCAAAGUGCUGGAAUUACAAGUGUGAGCCACCGCACCCAGCCAGGAUAUUGUCAAAGAAUUCCAAACGUGAGAAAUAAGGCGAAAGGGUACCUGCAAGUUCUCUUGAUGUUACACCGGAGCACUAACAGGCCCACCUGCAGACUAUUUAGUUCUCUACGGAAAUGUGCCUUUGUUUGACUUACUGUUUACCCCUGUGUUAUUAGAGCACAGCUUCUGCGAAGUUAGAAAUCGACUUAUACAUUGAUAAAUUGCCAAUUAUUUUUGUUACAGAGAUGCAAAGAUGCAUUUCUAUGACAAAGGUGUGUUUCUUCCGGCAGGGGGGAAAACAAACCCUAAACUAAACCUGAGGUUACAGUAUUAUUGUCCGAUAGGAUAUUAACUAGUUCUGCAUCUAACUCAGCAAAGUUAUUUUAGCAUUUCUUUUCCCAGCUGAAAUCUCUGCCUUUCAAAUGCUCUUUGAAGGCAGUUUUACCAUUUUUUCUGGUUCGCUCAUUAAGGAGUUAAAUAAACCCUUGACACAUGUUCGCUUUCUAUUGGUAUGUGGGUCAUGUUUAAAAAUGUUUGAAAAUUGUAUUUUGUCAGCAUGAAUGCCUCUCCUGCUGAUCUCACCGGGAAGGUGAGAGAACGGAUACGAAAAUGCAUUGAAUUGUGUUCCCUGUUUUGCAUUGUAAAGAUGUUACUUGGAAUAUUCAGCAGAUGGAAUAAAAUCUCCUCGUCUCAUCACGAGGGGUUUGGAUGGGAA
rnacentral:lncRNA from 1 species